AAGUCUAAACAUCCCCGGGCUGCGUCCCCUUUGCGGCCUCGGUGCCUACGUGGCAUAAAAAGAAAACGACGUCGUUUUCUUUCAGCUAAAAUCCCUCCCAAUUCUCUCGUGAGCUCAUUCCUUGCAUUCAAUUUUUAUGUUCCCCCGCAUCCCUCUCUUUUCUCUCAUCUCUCUCUUUCUAUUUUCUCUUCAUCUUUUACAUCCCCACGAAGCCCCAUCAUCUUCUCCACGAAGUCACCACCCCACGAAGCCAUAGCCCACCACAGCCCAGUCUUCGUCUUCCCCACAGUUCGUCUUCGUGGUCUCCAUCAACCCGCGAAGACCCACCAACCCACAAACACCCAUAUUCACUGUCGUCGUCUUCUCCACGAAGCCACAGAGUUACAGCCCACUUUGUCUUCUCCAUGAACCCAUUGAAUGGCUAGCUUCGUCUUUUCCACGAAGCCCCUUCUUUCUUCUUCUCCACCCAGAUAUGAAAUCUAUGAACCCACAAACCCAGAUCUGAAAUCCCUUUCCCACAAAGCCCCAUAGGAUUCAGAAACCAUACGUGUUGAAAAGUGGAGUCGUUGAAGUUGCUCCAAAUACUCGCUGGGCCACUUUGGUUCCUUCUUUUCUGGAUUUUUGCUUUUCUUUCAAAUGGUUAUUUGAUGUGUUACCAAAGUAAAUGGAGUUGAGGGCCUGCAUUCAAGGGGGAGAUUGGAAGCGAAGACAAGAUGUUGAUUUUUAUUUGCUAUAUGUUUAGUUCAUGUAACUCUAGCUCCUUAUGUGGUUGCUAAGCAUGCACUGAUCUCUGUAUAUAUUGAGAUGAAUAUUAUAAGUUAAUUCCACAUGAAAAUUAUGAGGGAAUUUGGCAACUUUUUGGUGAUAUAUUGCUAAGAAUCAGCUCUGUAUUUCAAGGAAUUGGGGAAAUAUUUGACUGGGUUUGAAGGGUUAUUCUUGAUAGGGUGUGAAAAUUGUAAUACUCAUCUUUUGAUAAUGGAUACUUGCAAAAGUUGUUAGUA